GGGGGCCCACAAACCUGGGUCUGUAUGCCCACUCUUCAUUAGCAGCUCCAGGACCAAGUGCGGUCAGUUUUCUGGAACUCGUUUCCAUAUCUCCACUGUGAUGUAAGGAUGUGCAUGGAUCCUAAAUGUGAGAAGCUGGCAAUCACCAGGUCCCUGGCAAGUGCUCAGAGUCUGAGCUACCAUCAAAAUCAAGGGCACAGGGGGAAGCUAACUGCUUCUCUGAAUACUCUAAGGGAGGCAGAUCUAGGCCAGGUGACCAGGGUUUACAAGUCCCAGGACAGCAGGUUGGGCUUGGUGCACGGAAGAACUGAUGAGCAGCUUCACUCAUGCAGCAGGACAGAUCAGGACAAAGCCAUGCUGGAGUUGGGGCCACACAUCUGCUGAAAACCCCCAACACUCUUUUUCCCAGCAGCAGCUUCCAAGCAAUUCCUGAGGCCCUCCCACCGGCUAACCAGAAAGGAACCCACCAUUGGUCUCCUUAGUAACGACUUCCAAGGCCCCUUGCACAUCUGAAAAGCGCACAGUGUGAUUUCCAGACCCAAGUUAGACAGCGAUUUCUUCAAAGUGCAACGCCCUCAAUUAAUGAACCCUCUGGGAAUGAAGUACCUUCUAACAAAAACAUUGUUCAAAAUAAAGCUGGAAAAAAACCUCACACAGCCCCUAGGA
rnacentral:lncRNA from 1 species